GGCCAGAGUGUCACCAAGUCAGACUUCCUCCCCAAGACUCACCUACAUGGAGAUGAGUUCCUACCUGUGUUGGCCAGAGGCUCCAAGCGGGAAACAGCCUUCAGCCGAGGGAAUGAAAGGAUUCUGAACCCCAGAGUGCCCCCUCCCUGCCCAGAACCCAGCAGCGUGAGUCACCAGCAGUUUCAGCCACUUCAUCGGAUGCAACAGACAAACGUUGCCCUGCUUGGCCGGGAGACUGUGGGGAAAAAGGAGCCCACAGGGUUCAGCCUUAACAACCCCAUGUAUGUCCGGAGCCCCUGUGAUCCUGACAGGGAUCAGCGAUACCUGACCACCUACAACCAAGGAACCCUGACCUCAGCUGACCCCUUCUACCAGAACACACCUCACAGCAGCCGCUGCGUGGCACACAGCUGAGCCCUGAGCCCUUGGUUUGUCAAUCCUAGGGGACAGGAGCCAGGCUACUGUCUGUACCCCCACUCCAUCCCCCAGGGGAACACCCCUGCCCAGCUACUUUCCUAAUGAAAUAAAGAGCA
rnacentral:lncRNA from 1 species